AGUGAACGCUGGCGGCAGGCCUAACACAUGCAAGUCGAACGGCAGCACAGUAAGAGCUUGCUCUUAUGGGUGGCGAGUGGCGGACGGGUGAGGAAUACAUCGGAAUCUACUCUUUCGUGGGGGAUAACGUAGGGAAACUUACGCUAAUACCGCAUACGACCUACGGGUGAAAGCGGAGGACCUUCGGGCUUCGCGCGAUUGAAUGAGCCGAUGUCGGAUUAGCUAGUUGGCGGGGUAAAGGCCCACCAAGGCGACGAUCCGUAGCUGGUCUGAGAGGAUGAUCAGCCAAACUGGAACUGAGACACGGUCCAGACUCCUACGGGAGGCAGCAGUGGGGAAUAUUGGACAAUGGGCGCAAGCCUGAUCCAGCCAUGCCGCGUGGGUGAAGAAGGCCUUCGGGUUGUAAAGCCCUUUUGUUGGGAAAGAAAAGCAGUCGGUUAAUACCCGAUUGUUCUGACGGUACCCAAAGAAUAAGCACCGGCUAACUUCGUGCCAGCCGCCGCGGUAACAC
rnacentral:rRNA from 1 species